rnacentral:rRNA from 1 species
GAGUGAACGCUGGCGGUAGGCCUAACACACGCAAGUCGAACGGCAGCACAGGAGAGCUUGCUCUCUGGGUGGCGAGUGGCGGACGGGUGAGGAAUACAUCGGAAUCUACCUUUUCGUGGGGGAUAACGUAGGGAAACUUACGCUAAUACCGCAUAAGACCUUCGGGUGAAAGCCGGGGACCUUCGGGCCUGGCGCGGAUAGAUGAGCCGAUGUCGGAUUAGCUUGUUGGCGGGGUAAAAGCCUACCAAGGCGACGAUCCGUAGCUGGUCUGAGAGGAUGAUCAGCCACACUGGAACUGAGACACGGUCCAGACUCCUACGGGAGCAGCAGUGGGAAUAUUGACAAUGG